rnacentral:rRNA from 1 species
CCUACGGGUGGCAGCAGUGAGGAAUAUUGGUCAAUGGUCGGAAGCCUGAACCAGCCAAGUCGCGUGAGGGAAUAAGGCCCUACGGGUCGUAAACCUCUUUUGCCGGGGAGCAAGGGCGGGGACGUGUCCCUGCCCGGGUAGUACCCGGAGACAACGCCUCGCCUAACUCCGUGCCAGCAGCCGCGGUAAUACGGAGGAUGCGACGGUUAUCCGGAUUUAUUGGUUUUAAGGGGUGCGUGGUGGGGCUUUUAAGUCAGCGGUAAAAAUUCGGGGCUCAACCCCGUCCGGCCGUUGAAACUGGGGGCAUGGAGGGGGCGAGAAGAAGGCGGAAUGCGUGGUGUAGCGGUGAAAUGCAUAGAUAUCACGCAGAACCCCGAUUGCGAAGGCAGCCUGCCGGCGCCCUACUGACGCUGAGGCACGAAAGUGCGGGGAUCGAACAGGAUUAGAUACCCCUGUAGUC